AAAGAAUAGAAGAAACUGAGAAAUCUUCAAUCAGCCAGAAGAUGACUCCUUCAGAGAAUAAGUUCCCAUUCAAACUUCCUCUGUAAUGAAUAAUUGGACUCUUCAGGGCCCUGUGGCUUUCUUUGGGGGAAAAGUAUUUGGUUUCAACAAUUCCCUGGUGUUAAGCUGAAGCUCCAAUGCCUCCUGACAUGUCUCCUGUAUGAGUGACUCAUGCUCAGCUCUCCUAGCCCCUUGAAGAAGAGGAUUCUUCCCAGCUGUGCAGGUGCUUAUUGGGCCCUCUUCAUGAAACUGGCC